rnacentral:lncRNA from 1 species
AACACCAAAAUCUUCUUGUAAGCCCACCAGCCAAUAAAGAAUGGCUCUCAAUUCGUCCCAAGACUCUUGUCAUUGAUUUCUAUAGGUUAGGUGGACCACAAUGUCAGGCUAGAGUCCACUUGAUAUUGCCGUUGUCAUUCAUUAAGAUGUUAAGAACGUUCCUUUUUUAAAGAUAUUAGCCACAUGCUAGAAAGAGCGAAUGGCUCUUAGUUCAUCCCAAGGCUCUUCUUGUUGACUAUUAGUCAAUCAGUCGGUGACCACAGUGGCUAGUUGGAAUCCACUUGAUAUUUUCACUAGUGUUUGUCAAGAUUGUUGUUGUAAAGAAAUUACCCAAACUCCUUUACCUGAAGAAAAAGAAGAAGAAGAAGAUCCAAUCAAUUAUGUCCAUGCAAGGAGGAUAGCUUUUGAAGCCUUGGAAGAAAAGAAAGAAAUUCCAUGAAUAAAAGUGAUGGAUUUAAUAUUUCGCAUCAUUCCAAUCCUACAUUCAAAUAUUGCAUCAAGAUUGCCUUUUAUGAAGACAUUAUCGGUAAAGAUCGGAGUGUCUUGGGUGGCUUUGAGUUCAUCGUGGUACUUUUACGGUCAACUUUAUAUUAUCAAUAUAAUAGUGUCAUCAUGAUUGUUGUUUUAAAGAAAUUACUCAAAUUUCUUUACUAGAAAUAGAAAUUACCCCAACUCGGUCAAAUAUGAACGAGUAAAUAUUUUUGGAGCCCCGAAGAAAAGAGAGAAAUAUAAUCAAGACAAGAGAUAGACUCAACAACCAUCUAUUUAUUUGU